UUAUCGACAAAAUGCCAAAGCAGUGAAAUAGUCGGUGUCAGGAGUUAGUUGCGUCGUUGUUGCAGUAUUUUGAGAAAGAACGGGAUAAUAAGAGCCCAUUGCUUUCACUGAACGCUGUUAGAGAAGUAAGUUAUUAUUUAUAAAUAUUUAGACAAAAAUAUACAAACAUUUUAUUUAUUUCAUGCAGCGUGUUGCAGCAGCAGUUAAGUGUAAAUAUUGCAACAGUUAGUAUAAUCUCUUGUAAAAUAAAAAACAAUAUCCCUUUAAGUUCGCCUAGUAAACAAAAGUCAAGCAAAAGGGUUGCAGACUGUACAAUUUUAGAUACUGCUGCUAUCCGUAACACUAUUUAUACAAAAAAAACGUGUAACUUUAAGUUCUUUAUGGCAAGAACUUAAAGAAAAACACAAAUUUGAUGGUUGUUGCAUAUCAUUAUGCUAAGUUCUAAAAAUUGGCUUUAAAUGGAAAAAAAGAUGAUCCUAGAAGGGGGCUUUUAGAACUGCCUAGUUUAACUGCUUUUAAACGUGUCGACUUUUUAAACUCGUAUAUAAAAGAAAAAUAAAAGGGCCUAUAUAAAUUUGUCUUCCUAGACGAAAAUUUCCAAAAUGAAACAUAGGGCGUUCAUGGCAGGAUGAAAAUAAAAAGAGCGUGAGAAGGAUUAAAGGUUAUGGGAAAAGACAUAACGUACUACAUGCGGGAAAUGAAGAUAAAUUUAUUGAAAACGCCGAUCUUGUUUUUCCUCAGAUUCAAACAAGCGACUACCAUGGUGAAAUGAAUCCAGAAAAUUUUUUGUUUAGGUUUAAAAACCAAUUGUUAAAAAAUUUAACUGGCCCAUCAUUAAUAAUUGUGGACAAUGCUCCUUACCACAGCAUCCUCUUAACAAAAACACCAAACAGUUUUUGAAAACUUGACAAAAACAACUAUUCAGGAGUGGCUAAUUAACGAGAAUAUAGAGUUUUCGAACAAUAUGUUUAAAAGUGAACUUUUAAGAAUUAUUGUUGCAAGAUGAUCUGGCCGAGCAUAACUUUAUUACCAAAAUAAAGUUCUUCGCCUGCCACUAUAUCACUGUAUGGUUAACCCAAUCGAACAUAUAUGGCGCAUAUCAAAAUCCUUUUACAAUAAGCACAUUGGCAGGGAUGGCAAUUCACACCAAGACUGCUUAAAUAUGUGGCAUGAAGCACUACAAACCAUAACACCUGAUAUAUGGAAAAAUACAAACAAUCACACAUACGGAAAAGGCAAUUUUAAAAUGGUACGAGAGGGAGCAAAUAAUGGAUCGACAAGAUGUUCUUCCUUUUAUAAU